rnacentral:rRNA from 1 species
CCUACGGGUGGCAGCAGUGGGGAAUAUUGCACAAUGGGGGAAACCCUGAUGCAGCGAUGCCGCGUGAGCGAUGAAGUAUCUCGGUAUGUAAAGCUCUAUCAGCAGGGAAGAAAAUGACGGUACCUGACUAAGAAUCCCCGGCGAACUCCGUGCCAGCAGCGGCGGUAAUACGUAGGGGGCAAGCGUUAUCCGGAUGUACUGGGUGUAAAGGGAGUGUAGACGGCUUUGCAAGCCAGAUGUGAAAGCCCGGGGCUCAACACCGGGACUGCAUUUGGAACUGUACUGCUAGAGUGUCGGAGAGGCAGGCGGAAUUCCUAGUGUAGCGGUGAAAUGCGUAGAUAUUAGGAAGAACACCAGUGGCGAAGGCAGCCUGCUAGACGGUGACUGACGUUGAGGCUCGAAAGCGUGGGGAGCAAACAGGAUUAGAUACCCCUGUAGUC